rnacentral:rRNA from 1 species
AACGAACGCUGGCAGCGUGGAUUAGGCAUGCAAGUCGAACGAGAACCCUGGGUGUAGCAAUACACUCGGGGGGACAGUGGCGAAAGGGUGAGUAAUACGUGGGCAAUCUGCCCUCAAGACUGGGAUAACCCCACGAAAGCGGGGCUAAUACCGGAUGUGGUGGUUCAGCGAAUGCUGGAUUGACUAAAGGCGGGGACCUUCGGGCCUGCCGCUUGAAGAGGAGCCCAUGUCCCAUCAGCUAGUUGGUAGGGUAACGGCCUACCAAGGCAUACGGGUAGCUGGUCUGAGAGGAUGGUCAGCCACACUGGGACUGAGACACUGCCCAGACUCCUACGGGAGGCAG